CAGUUUCUUUAAAGGGUUCUCAGAAACCCUCGAGAUAGCAGAUGAUAUGGCGAUUGACAUUCCUUAUGUAUGGCAGUACAUAGCGGAGCUCGUUAAUCCUGUGCUUCGGGAAGGAGGAAUCUCUUUGAGAGAAUUAUUAAUAGCCAAAAGGAAGUGGAGGCCUUAUGGAGGGACUCUAAACUGAGCUGGGCUGAUUUUCUUCCUGAAACCGUGGAUGGGAACAACUUCAUUACUGAGCAGGUGAGCUGUUGGCUGCACAGUAAAAAAUGGGGUGUUAAUAUUUCAGAGUAAAGUUAUUUUAACCCAGAUAGAGUAUUUUCAACACUUUGGGGAGUAAAGUUGCUCUAUCAAUGGAGUUAAAAGUGAGUGUAAAAAUCUGCAGAAACGCAGUGACAAUUUUAACUCUACAACAGUGAUGAAUACCCGCCACUCUGCUGCGCUUCUCAAACGUUUAGCACGAAUUUCGGUGGAGGAAGAUUGUGAAGGAGCAACGCUAGGUCACUGAUAUUGCUAGGUAAGUAAUAUCCUUUGUUGUCCACACCAAAACGGUAUUUUUUAACUUUACAUAAUUUUAAAGUGUGCUGAUAUUAGUUGAGGUCAUAUUACAAGUUAUAGCAACCCGUACUCUGCCAAACUGUUCCUUAAUUUGUUGCAAUAUUUUCACGAAUGAAGUUGGUCAGAAUGUUUUAUGCGUAAAAUAACGUUAACUCCGUCACUAUAACAACAAAAGAUUUAAUACAGUUAAUAGCUAUUCUUAGCUAAUGUAUUUUUUAGCUUCCCAGGCAACGUUCAUCUAGGUUUUUUUAUAUACUGGUAACGUUAGCAUGCAUCUGAUAGUUAAUGUUGGUCUUAUAUAACGAUAACUUAGAUCACUGAUUGCAUGACGUGUUUGUUUAACAUGGCUUAACAAUUUUAACGGAUUACUGUUCGAACUAAAAUAGCCAAUGAGCUAGCUAACUUUGGCACAGUUAUUUGGUAGCUAAUUUGAGACUGUGCCUCUUAACUUUAACUAGCUUUAAUUUGUAGAAAAUAAACGUUAUAUUCA